GACGUAGGGCGCGAGCGUUGUCCGGAUUUAUUGGGCGUAAAGGGCUCGUAGGCGGUCCAUCGCGUCGGGAGUGAAAAGCUGGGGCUUAACCCCAGUCCUGCUUCCGAUACGGGUGGACUAGAGGUAGGUAGGGGGAGAUCGGAAUUCCUGGUGUAGCGGUGGAAAUGACGCAGAUAUCAGGAGGAACACCGGUGGCGAAGGCGGAUCUCUGGGCCUUACCUGACGCUGAGGAGCGAAAGCGUGGGGAGCAAACAGG
rnacentral:rRNA from 1 species